rnacentral:rRNA from 1 species
GGGGGUAAUACCGUAUACGCCCUUUUGGGGAAAGAUUUAUCGGCGAAGGAUCGGCCCGCGUUGGAUUAGGUAGUUGGUGGGGUAAUGGCCUACCAAGCCGACGAUCCAUAGCUGGUUUGAGAGGAUGAUCAGCCACACUGGGACUGAGACACGGCCCAGACUCCUACGGGAGGCAGCAGUGGGGAAUCUUAGACAAUGGGGGCAACCCUGAUCUAGCCAUGCCGCGUGAGUGAUGAAGGCCUUAGGGUUGUAAAGCUCUUUCAGCUGGGAAGAUAAUGACGGUACCAGCAGAAGAAGCCCCGGCUAACUCCGUGCCAGCAGCCGCGGUAAUACGGAGGGGGCUAGCGUUGUUCGGAAUUACUGGGCGUAAAGCGCACG